rnacentral:rRNA from 1 species
UCGGACGGGAUUGGAGAGCUUGCUUUCCAUGAGAGUGGCGCACGGGUGCGUAACACGUAUGUAACCUACCUUGUUCAGGGGGAUAGCCUCUCGAAAGAGAGAUUAAGACCGCAUAACAUCAUUGACUGGCAUCUGUUAAUGAUCAAAUAUUUAUAGGAACAAGAUGGGCAUGCGGAACAUUAGCUAGUUGGUAAGGUAAAGGCUUACCAAGGCUACGAUGUUUAGGGGAUCUGAGAGGAUGACCCCCCACACUGGUACUGAGACACGGACCAGACUCCUACGGGAGGCAGCAGUAAGGAAUAUUGGUCAAUGGGCGAAAGCCUGAACCAGCCAUGCCGCGUGCAGGAAGACGGCCCUACGGGUUGUAAACUGCUUUUGUACCGGAAUAAACCUUUCUUCGUGAAGGAAGCUGAAUGUACGGUAAGAAUAAGGAUCGGCUAACUCCGUGCCAGCAGCCGCG